CUCAGAACGAACGUUAGCGAGAUGUUUUAAGCAUGCAAGUCGAGCGGCAGCACUUCGGGUGGCAAGCGGCGAACGGGUGAGUAGUAGUUAGCAACUUGCCCCCAGACGGGAAUAGCCACUGUAAUGGUGAUUAAUGCCCGAUAUUGAGGAAACUUGAAAGGCGCGUUGGUGCCGCUGGGGGAUAGGGCUAACCCCUAUUAGCUUGUUGGUAGGGUAAGAGCCUACCAAGGCGAUGAUAGGUAGCCGGCCUGAGAGGGCGAUCGGCCACACUGGGACUGAGAUACGGCCCAGACUCCUACGGGAGGCAGCAGCUGAGAAUAUUCCGCAAUGGGGGAAACCCUGACGGAGCAAUUUCGCAUGGACGAUGAAGGCUUUCGAGUUGUAAAGUCCUUUCGGCAGGAAAGAAUAAUGCAGUAAGGAAAUGUGCUGCAGAUGACGGUACCUGCAAAAGAAGCCCCGGGCUAACUACGUGCCAGCAGCCGCGGUAAACGCACUCGUGU
rnacentral:rRNA from 1 species